rnacentral:rRNA from 1 species
AUGCGCAUCUUCCUUCUCUCAGGGCAGAGCAACAUGGCCGGCCGCGGCGGCGUGCACCACCGACGGUGGGACGGGGUCGUGCCGCCGGAGUGCGCGCCGGACCCCUCCAUCCUCCGCCUCUCCGCCGCGCUCGCAUGGGAAGAGGCCCGCGAGCCGCUGCACGCCGACAUCGACACGACCAAGACCUGCGGCGUCGGCCCCGGGAUGGCCUUCGCCCGCGCCAUUCUCCCGCGGCUGGAGCCCCCAGGCACCGCCGGGGUCGGGCUCGUACCAUGCGCCGUCGGCGGCACGGCCAUACGGGAGUGGGCCCGCGGGGAGCACCUGUACGAGCAGAUGGUGCGGCGCGCGCGCGCCGCGACCGAGUGCGGCGAGAUCGAGGCCGUGCUGUGGUACCAGGGGGAGAGCGAUGCAGAGUCCGAUGCCGAAACGGCGGCGUAUCAGGGGAACGUGGAGAGGUUGAUAGCAAAUAUCAGGGCAGAUCUUGGGAUGCCGCAUCUACCAUUCAUUCAGGUUGCUCUCGCAUCUGGGAAUAAAAGGAACAUUGAAAAAGUGAGGGAGGCUCAGCUUAGCAUUAACUUGCUGAAUGUUGUAACUGUGGAUGCAAUUGGCCUGCCCUUGAACGAAGAUAAUUUGCAUCUUACCACUGAAGCACAAGUAAAGCUUGGAGAAAGUCUUGCACAAGCCUACAUCAGUAACUUUUUACAAGCAACCUGCUAG